AGUUAAUAAUUACAACUUUCAACAACGGAUCUCUUGGUUCUGGCAUCGAUGAAGAACGCAGCGAAAUGCGAUAAGUAGUGUGAAUUGCAGAAUUCAGUGAAUCAUCGAAUCUUUGAACGCACAUUGCGCCCCUUGGUAUUCCAUGGGGCAUGCCUGUU
rnacentral:rRNA from 1 species